GUUCAGGAGGUCAAGGCUGUGGUAAGCUGAGAUCACACUACUGCACUCCACCCUGGGCAACAGAGCAAGACCCUGUCUCAGAAGCAAAACAAAACAAAUAUACUAAUUGCCCAAGCAUCAUUAUCUUUUGUAGAUUAAUCUAUUUUAAUGUGCCUACUGACUGCAGCAGAAAUUAUGUGUCCUGAACAGAAACAAAUUUCUAUAGUUUUAUAUCUUCCCAGAAAUACUAUUGUUCAACAUGCUGAAAGAUAUAGCUGAGAACCUAAAGAUCUAGUAAUAUGAAAUGAUGUUUGGCUUCUCUGAACUUACCACAUCAAGAAGGCAGCAGUUUGCAAGCAAUGCCCCUCCUCCACCAAAAAAGGCCUUAUUAUAUUCUAAAACCAAGUGAGCAGCCCUACAUGCAGAUGAACUGAAGCUUCCAGCCAACAGGCAUGAAAUAACUGAGGCCUGCUCAGAAUGACAUGAGUGUGUUUGAAAGUGGAUCUCUGGCCCCAGUUAAGCCAUGAGAUGACUGCAACCACAAGAGAGGCCCUGGGCCAGAACCACAGCUAAGUCACUCCUGGAUUUCUGACCCUCAUAAACUGUGAGACAAUAAUUGUUGUUUUAAGCAGCUAAGUUUCAGGAUACUUUGUUAUACAACAAUAAAUAAAUAGUACUCUCUGAGAGUGAUUUUAAGGCAUGGCCCUAUCAAAGGAGUAGCCUUACUUUAACACCUAAUCCAGUGGAUCUCAGAGGUAUUAAUAUCUACCAUUUGUGAUUGUCUUAUAUUACCCAAAAGACUUAAGCUUUUAAUGGGAAGGAAGAUUAUAUGAACUUUUUUGAUGUCCUAAAACAGCACAGUGCCAAGUGCAUGUAAGUACUCUAUAAAUAUUUCCUGAAUUGAUUUUUUAAACUACAUUUUUUAAACUAGAAUUCAUGGGACUGAAUCAAACUGCAUUUUAACAGAGCAUACUAUUGCAUGUUCGUUCAUCUUGAUGCAGUUAGAAAUUAUUCCAGGUACUG
rnacentral:lncRNA from 1 species